UUGGAAGUGAUGCAGUCAAAACAUCUGACUCUUCUGAUGGUGUUAGUAUUCAUACUGUCUGAUCCAA